GGCGCUUUUGGCCCUGCGGGAGGGGCCGGGCUCGAUGAGAAAAGCAUCAUUCAAGCUCAGAUUCGUAUUGAAGCCUGCCACAAGGUCCACCUGUUGUGGGUUUGUGUGUGACCAGGUGAGUACAGUGUGGAACCUACAACAAGGUUCCAGCAGGCUCUGCUGUGUAGAACUGCUGGUGGGCUUUUCCUGUGCUGGGGUUGUAACCACAUGGAAGUCACUAAGAGUGAAGGUAUCUUAAGGAAAGUUCAAGGUAAAAAGACAGAGGUAUUUAUGGUUGCAUGUGUGU
rnacentral:sRNA from 1 species